GAUGAACGCUGGCGGCGUGCCUAAUACAUGCAAGUCGAACGAGGUGCUUUUGUAGCAAUACGAGAGUAUCCUAGUGGCGAACGGGUGAGUAACGCGUUGGUGACCUACCCCAAAGUGUGGGAUAACAGUCCGAAAGGAUUGCUAAUACCGCAUGUGGUCAUUGGAUUUAGAAACUGAUGACUAAAGGAGCAAUUCGCUUUGGGAGGGACCUGCGUCCCAUCAGCUAGUUGGUGAGGUAACGGCUCACCAAGGCGACGACGGGUAGGGGACCUGAGAGGGUGGCCCCCACAAUGGAACUGAAACACGGUCCAUACACCUACGGGUGGCAGCAGUAGGGAAUAUUGCACAAUGGGCGAAAGCCUGAUGCAGCAACGCCGCGUGUGUGAUGAAGGCCUUCGGGUCGUAAAGCACUUUUCUGGGAGAUGAGAAAGGACAGUAUCCCAGGAAUAAGUCUCGGCUAACUACGUGC
rnacentral:rRNA from 1 species